GAGCACCGCAGGCAGCCCAGGUUCCGGCCCGCGCCUCUCCCUCCACACCUCCCCGCCGGCAGAGGGAGCCCGCUCAGGCCUCAGCCAGCACAGAGAGGGGCUCCCACGGUGCAGCUGCGGGCUGAAGGGCUCCUGAAGCGCGGCCAGAGUGGGCUGAGGCCGAGGAGGCGCCGAGAGCCAGCGAGGGGAUGCCAGCAAGCUGUCACCUCUCAGAAAUACAGGAAGAACAUCAAUAAUGUUCGAAGUUAUAAAUUGCGGAGGCCAGAAGUCAGAAAACAAGGUGUCUGCAGGACCAACCUCUCCUCUGGAUGCUCUAGGAGAAGCCAGCUCCCAUGUUAAGAAGUUCAAAUACCUAGAGACUGCGAUGGUUUGCAGAGGCUCAAGCUAACCACAUGGAAAGACAUGGAGAGAUAUUCCUUGCCAACCCUCAACUACUCCAACUAUUCUAAGACAUCAAACCUGUGAGUGAAAAAGCCAUCUCAUACCUUACAACUCUAGCAGAUGCCACAUAGUGUAGAGAUAAGCUCUCUCUGUCAUUCUCUGUCAAAAUUGUAAAAUCAUAAGCAAAUAAAUAAUCACAGUUGCUUCAAGUUACUACAUUUGAGCAUAGUAUUUUAAGCCACUGCAUUUGAGAUGGUUUGUUAUACAGCAAUAGAUAACUAAAAAACAAAGUCCCUUGAUUUAGACUUGUCCACUCAACUUGCUUGGCCAAUGGAAUGGGGUAGAAGUGAUGGUGUGCUUAUUCCCAGCCUGGGCCUUAAAAGGCUUUGCCUAUUUCCACUUGCCUUCUUGUACUUCUGCUAUUGUCAUAAGAAAAACAAACCGCAGGUCACCCACCGGUCUGAAGAGGAGGAUGAGAGACAAAGAAAAAAGUUGUCUGGCUGCCUCUGCUGUCUACAGAUUGAAGAAGAUCCAUCCAGCUGAGCCCAGCCUAGACCAGCUGACUUCUCCAAUAAGCCUGUAUGAAAUAAAUGCUUAUUGUUAUGUGACCUUGAGCUUUGAAGAUAGUUUGUUAUGCAAUAA
ensembl:lncRNA LINC00240 long intergenic non-protein coding RNA 240